UUUCCCUCAGGAUAGCUGGCACUCGCUUGAGCGAGUCUCAUCUGGUAAAGCGAAUGAUUAGAGGCCUUGGGGCCGAAACGACCUCAACCUAUUCUCAAACUUUAAAUGGGUGAGAUCUCUGGCUUGCUUGAACGUUGAAGCCACGAGAUUAUAUUCAUGGAUCAGAGUGCCAAGUGGGCCAAUUUUGGUAAGCAGAACUGGCGCUGUGGGA
rnacentral:rRNA from 1 species